rnacentral:rRNA from 1 species
GCCAUGCAUGUCUCAGUGCAGCCGUACGCGUUCGCGCGUCUAGGUGAAACCGCGAAAGGCUCAUUAAAUCAGUUAUGGUUCCUUGGAUCGUACCAUUCAGUUACUUGGAUAACUGUGGUAAUUCUAGAGCUAAUACAUGCCGACAGAGUUCCGACCGCCUCGUGCGGGAGGAACGCUUUUAUUAGAUCAAAACCCAUCGGUACGGGCUUCGGCCCAUACCGACAACACUCGGUCCGUUCGCGGGCCGACCAAGUGGUGACUCUGAAUAACUUUGUGCUGAUCGCACGGUCUCAGUGCUGGCGAUGCAUCUUUCAAAUGUCUGCCUUAUCAACUGUCGAUGGUAGGUUAUGCGCCUACCAUGGUGGUAACGGGUGACGGGGGAUUAGGGUUCGAUCCCGGAGAGGGAGCCUGAGAAACGGCUACCACAUCCAAGGAAGGCAGCAGGCACGCAAAUUACCCACUCCCAGCUCAGGGGAGGUAGUGACGAAAUAUAACGAUACGGGACUCAUCCGAGGCCUCGUAAUCGGAAUGAGUACACUUUAAAACGUUUAACGAGGAUCCAUUGGAGGGCA